rnacentral:rRNA from 1 species
AACGAACGCUGGCGGCAUGCCUAACACAUGCAAGUCGAACGCGUGUAGCAAUACACGAGUGGCGGACGGGUGAGUAACGCGUGGGAACCUGCCCAGUGGUAGGGAAUAACUGCGGGAAACUGCAGCUAAUACCCUAUACGCCCUUUGGGGGAAAGAUUCAUCGCCAUUGGAGGGGCCCGCGUCGGAUUAGCUAGUUGGCGGGGUAACGGCCCACCAAGGCAACGAUCCGUAGCUGGCUGAGAGGAUGAUCAGCCACACUGGGACUGAGAUACGGCCCAGACUCCUACGGGAGGCAGCAGGUGGGGAAUAUUGGACAAGUAGGGGGAAACCCUGAUCCAGCAAUGCCGCGUGAGUGAAGAAGGCC